rnacentral:rRNA from 1 species
AGUGAACGCUGGCGGUAGGCCUAACACAUGCAAGUCGAACGGCAGCACAGUAAGAGCUUGCUCUUACGGGUGGCGAGUGGCGGACGGGUGAGGAAUACAUCGGAAUCUACUUUUUCGUGGGGGAUAACGUAGGGAAACUUACGCUAAUACCGCAUACGACCUACGGGUGAAAGCAGGGGAUCUUCGGACCUUGCGCGAUUGAAUGAGCCGAUGUCGGAUUAGCUAGUUGGCGGGGUAAAGGCCCACCAAGGCGACGAUCCGUAGCUGGUCUGAGGGGAUGAUCAGCCACACUGGAACGGAGACACGGUCCAGACUCCUACGAGAGGCAGCAGUGGGGAAUAUUGGACAAUGGGCGCAAGCCUGAUCCAGCCAUACCGCGUGGGUGAAGGAGGCCUUCGGGUUGUAAAACCCUUUUGUUGGGAAAGAAAAGCAGCAGGUUAAUACCCCGCUGUUCUGACGGUACCCAAAGAAUAAGCACCGACUAACUUCGUG